UACAGAGGGGGCAAGCGUUGUUCGGAAUUACUGGGCGUAAAGGGCGCGUAGGCGGCCCGCUAAGUCGAACGUGAAAUCCCCGAGCUCAACUCGGGAACUGCGUCCGAUACUGGUGGGCUUGAAUCCGGGAGAGGGAUGCGGAAUUCCAGGUGUAGCGGUGAAAUGCGUAGAUAUCUGGAGGAAUACCGGUGGCGAAGGCGGCAUCCUGGACCGGCAUUGACGCUGAGGAGCGAAAGCCAGGGGAGCAAACGGG
rnacentral:rRNA from 1 species